rnacentral:rRNA from 1 species
UACGGAGGGAGCUAGCGUUGUUCGGAAUUACUGGGCGUAAAGCGCACGUAGGCGGCUUUGUAAGUUAGAGGUGAAAGCCUGGAGCUCAACUCCAGAAUUGCCUUUAAGACUGCAUCGCUUGAAUCCAGGAGAGGUGAGUGGAAUUCCCGAGUGUAGAGGUGAAAUUCGUAGAUAUUCGGAAGAACACCAGUGGCGAAGGCGGCUCACUGGACUGGUAUUGACGCUGAGGUGCGAAAGCGUGGGGAGCAAACAGG